rnacentral:rRNA from 1 species
UACGGAGGGUGCAAGCGUUAAUCGGAAUUACUGGGCGUAAAGCGUGCGCAGGCGGUUUGUUAAGUCUGCUGUGAAAUCCCCGAGCUCAACUUGGGAAUUGCAGUGGAUACUGGCAGGCUGGAGUAUGGUAGAGGAAGGUGGAAUUCCCGGUGUAGCAGUGAAAUGCGUAGAGAUCGGGAGGAACACCAGUGGCGAAGGCGGCCUUCUGGACCAAUACUGACGCUGAGGAGCGAAAGCGUGGGGAGCAAACAGG